rnacentral:rRNA from 1 species
AACUCGCCUACAUGAAGUCGGAAUCGCUAGUAAUCGCGAUCAGCAUGCCGCGGUGAAUACGUUCCCGGGCCUUGUACACACCGCCCGUCACACCAUGAGAGUUUGUAACACCCAAAGCCGGUGGGGUAACCUUUUGGAGCCAGCCGUCUAAGGUGGGACAGAUGAUUGGGGUGAAGUCGUAACAAGGUACC